rnacentral:rRNA from 1 species
UACGUAGGUGGCAAGCGUUGUCCGGAUUUAUUGGGUUUAAAGGGUGCGUAGGCGGCCCUGUAAGUCAGUGCUGAAAUAUCCCAGCUUAACUGGGAGGGUGGCAUUGAUACUGCGGGGCUAGAGUACAGAUGAGGUAGGCGGAAUUGACGGUGUAGCGGUGAAAUUCGUAGAUAUGGGGAGGAACACCGGUGGCGAAGGCGGCCAUCUGGACGGAUACUGACGCUGAGACGCGAAAGCGUGGGUAGCAAACAGG